UGGUUGGGCAAUCAAGAGAGAUGGUUCAGG
rnacentral:piRNA from 1 species